UACGUAGGGUGCGAGCGUUGUCCGGAAUUAUUGGGCGUAAAGAGCUUGUAGGCGGUCUGUCGCGUCUGCUGUGAAAAUCCGGGGCUCAACCCCGGACGUGCAGUGGGUACGGGCAGACUAGAGUGUGGUAGGGGAGACUGGAAUUCCUGGUGUAGCGGUGAAAUGCGCAGAUAUCAGGAGGAACACCGAUGGCGAAGGCAGGUCUCUGGGCCACUACUGACGCUGAGGAGCGAAAGUGUGGGGAGCGAACAGG
rnacentral:rRNA from 1 species